UGCAGUGACACAACCGAUCCCGGAGAAGCCGGCGGGUGCCCCGGGGAGAGUUCUCUUUUCUUUGUGAAGGGCCGGGCGCCCUGGAAUGGGUUCGCCCCGAGAGAGGGGCCCGCGCCUUGGAAAGCGUCGCGGUUCCGGCGGCGUCCGGUGAGCUCUCGCUGGCCCGUGAAAAUCCGGGGGAGA
rfam:Chlamydotis undulata macqueenii contig80564, whole genome shotgun sequence.